CGGUAACCAUGUGGUAGAAUGGUAGAAACGUGGUGAAAAUGUGACACCGACAGUUAAUAAAUGAAUUGUUCAUUUUCAACUUAACUUUGUUUCGCAUUUUAUAAUAAUUCCGUCUGAAUAUGUUUGGCUAGGUGUUUGGGCUGUAUUUGAUGAAAACGGACUAUCACAUCAUGCAUUGCUGCAUUAUUGUAUGGCUAAAUGCAUUCUUCAGGUAAAGGUUUUGGCCAAAGCUCUCUCUCAUCCAGCUUAAUAUAUUUACUUGUUUAAUGGUGUACUUAUGGCCAUGGUGAAAAAAUUUCUGAUGACACCCAUCACUAAUGGCAAUAUGAAUAAUUGUUCACCAACAGAUUUUAGUCCAACAAUCAUUUCUCAUCAAAUGAACGUUUCUGCAAUAAUAAGAUGACGAGUUUUGGAUGAAAAAGUUCUUUUAAGAAAAGCCGGUAAACAGAGUCCAUUGUAUGAAUGAACAGUGAUGAGCUUUGUAAAAAGGAUUUGGUUGACGCCAUUUUGCCUUUGGUGACGGAUCGCC